GAUUGACGAUGGAUCACCAGUGAGUGGCGGACGGGUGAGUAACUCGUAGGUAACCUGCCCCGGAGCGGGGGAUAACAUUUGGAAACAGAUGCUAAUACCGCAUAAUAGCAAAAGCCACAUGGCUUUUGCUUGAAAGAUGGCUUUGGCUAUCACUCUGGGAUGGACCUGCGGUGCAUUAGCUAGUUGGUAAGGUAACGGCUUACCAAGGCGAUGAUGCAUAGCCGAGUUGAGAGACUGAUCGGCCACAAUGGAACUGAGACACGGUCCAUACUCCUACGGGAGGCAGCAGUAGGGAAUCUUCCACAAUGGGCGCAAGCCUGAUGGAGCAACACCGCGUGAGUGAAGAAGGGUUUCGGCUCGUAAAGCUCUGUUGUUGGAGAAGAACGUGCGUGAGAGUAACUGUUCACGCAGUGACGGUAUCCAACCAGAAAGUCACGGCUAACUACGUGCCAGCAGCCGCGGUAAUACGUAGGUGGCAAGCGUUAUCCGGAUUUAUUGGGCGUAAAGCGAGCGCAGGCGGUUGCUUAGGUCUGAUGUGAAAGCCUUCGGCUUAACCGAAGAAGUGCAUCGGAAACCGGGCAACUUGAGUGCAGAAGAGGACAGUGGAACUCCAUGUGUAGCGGUGGAAUGCGUAGAUAUAUGGAAGAACACCAGUGGCGAAGGCGGCUGUCUGGUCUGCAACUGACGCUGAGGCUCGAAAGCAUGGGUAGCGAACAGGAUUAGAUACCCUGGUAGUCCAUGCCGUAAACGAUGAGUGCUAGGUGUUGGAGGGUUUCCGCCCCUUCAGUGCCGGAGCUAACGCAUUAAGCACUCCGCCUGGGGGAGUACGACCGCCAGGGUUGAAACUCCAAAGGGAAUUGACGGGGG
rnacentral:rRNA from 1 species